GGAAGGAUCAUUAACACGUAUCCACGUUAUCAACAACGGCGAAUCGUUUUCACUCUCCCCUUUGGCAGAGAAUGAGUCAGGAAAUUCACAGAACGUUUGUUCGGGAGCUUGAGAGCCUGCUUUGCUUUACUGCUGGGUGGGUGAUCGCAGCCUUUCUGUGGAAAACACUUGCGGCUUUACCGUCGCAGACGACUGUAUUUCUGUUUCCUAAAAGGCUAGCUCGAAUAAGGCAUAGCGUACUGAACUUCGCCAGCCUACUUGAGCGCAAAACUAUAAAUUAACCCAUUUCACCAACACCUUUUGCUAGUUGACUUUUUAUUAUGUUGUUCCAAAUUCACGUUUGGUUCACACGUUUAAAUUAUUUGAACGAUAAAAAAUACAACUCUUAGCAAUGGAUAUCUAGGUUCUCGCAACGAUGAAGAACGCAGCGAAAUGCGAUACGUAAUGCGAAUUGCAGAAUUCAGUGAAUCAUCAAAUCUUUGAACGCAAAUUGCGCUCUUGGGUAGCCCUAGGAGCACGCCUCUCUCAGUAUCGGUUCAACAACCUCUCAGCAGCGUGAUUGAUUUUUAUUAAUCGUUUGCGUGUUGGCUGGAUAAUGACAGUCUGAAAACUAUUCAAUUAGUCUUCAGUCUCUUGAAAUACAUGGAGUGAAAUUACGACUAACGAUCAGUUCUGGGUAGAAUUUAAUUCUAUUCAGAUAGUCAGCCCUCUGGCUGUUGUUUCGAUAGUGACGUGAAUAUUGGCCUUUACUGGUCUUCCUUUUUACGUUUAUCUAUAGGAGCGACAAUUCAAAGUUAGGGGAUUGGUGAACGUUCGACCUAGUGCAUAUUUUCGCGUGGGAAAUCCAUAUGAUGACUUGAGCAAUUCAUUGUUCAAGGAGUCUGAAUUUUGAUCUGAGAUGAAGCGAGACAACCCCCUGAAUUUAAGCAUAUUAAUAAGGGGAGGAAAAGAAACUAACAAGGAUUCCCUUAGUAACGGCGAGUGAAGCGGGAAGAGCUCAAUUUGAAAAUCGAAUACCUAAACGGGUCUUCGAGUUGUAGCCUAGAGACGUACUAUCAGCUGAAACCUGGGUAUAAGUUCUUUGGAAUGAGGCAUCAUAGAGGGUGAGAAUCCCGUUUAUGACCCAAAGCUUUCAGCGUACGAUGUAUGUUCAUCGAGUCGAGUUGUUUGGGAUUGCAGCUCUAAAUGGGUGGUAAGUUUCAUCUAAAGCUAAAUAAUGGCGAGAGACCGAUAGCGAACAAGUACCGUGAGGGAAAGAUGAAAAGAACUUUGAAAAGAGAGUUAAAAGUACUUGAAAUUGCUAAGAGGGAAGCGCUAAAAACCAGUGAUACGCCAAGUCAAUCGCUUUCGGCCCCACUAGUUGGUGUAAGUACUGGGCAACCUUGCUUGCGCCACCGAAAGGGUGGUUGGAGGUUUAUGAUUUGGUGUCAGUCAAGAUCAAUUCGGAUUGUAGGGAGAAGGUAGCGAGGAAGGUAGGAGAGCAAUCUCUGUUAUAUCCUUGUUACUCUACCUCGGCCUGGAUUGAGGAAGUAAUGGUGCGCCGCUUGCGGCUUGGUCCUGCGUCUCUGUUGUCCUAUUCGCUCUGAUAGCAAUGCUAUCUCUGUGGAGACAGAUCAUACUGGGCGUAGUGAUUCUAUGUGCCAUCACGAUCUUGUACGAAAUGGUUUUUAUCGACCCGUCUUGAAACACGGACCAAGGAGUCUAACAUCUAUGCGAGUAUUUGGGUGCAAAACCCUGAUGCGUAAUGAAAGUAAAGGCAGACUUGUUCUGCUGAGGUAGGAAUCCCGCAAGGGAGGCACUAUCGACCGAUCAUCACUUGUGAAAGAUUUGAGUAAGAGCAUAUCUGUUGGGACCCGAAAGAUGGUGAUCUAUGCCUGAACAGGGUGAAGCCAGGGGAAACUCUGGUGGAGGCUCGUAGCGAUACUGACGUGCAAAUCGUUCGUCUGAUUUGGGUAUAGGGGCGAAAGACUAAUCGAACCAUCUAGUAGCUGGUUCCCUC
rnacentral:misc_RNA from 1 species